AUCGAACGCUGGCGGCAGGCCUAACACAUGCAAGUCGAGCGGCAGCGGGAAAGUAGCUUGCUACUUUUGCCGGCGAGCGGCGGACGGGUGAGUAAUGCCUGGGAAAUUGCCCAGUCGAGGGGGAUAACAGUUGGAAACGACUGCUAAUACCGCAUACGCCCUACGGGGGAAAGCAGGGGACCUUCGGGCCUUGCGCGAUUGGAUAUGCCCAGGUGGGAUUAGCUAGUUGGUGAGGUAAUGGCUCACCAAGGCGACGAUCCCUAGCUGGUCUGAGAGGAUGAUCAGCCACACUGGAACUGAGACACGGUCCAGACUCCUACGGGAGGCAGCAGUGGGGAAUAUUGCACAAUGGGGGAAACCCUGAUGCAGCCAUGCCGCGUGUGUGAAGAAGGCCUUCGGGUUGUAAAGCACUUUCAGCGAGGAGGAAAGGUUGAUGCCUAAUACGUAUCAACUGUGACGUUACUCGCAGAAGAAGCACCGGCUAACUCCGUGCCAGCCGCCGCAGUAAAAC
rnacentral:rRNA from 1 species